rnacentral:rRNA from 1 species
GACGAACGCUGGCGGCGUGCUUAACACAUGCAAGUCGAACGGAAAGGCCCUGCUUUUGUGGGGUGCUCGAGUGGCGAACGGGUGAGUAACACGUGAGUAACCUGCCCUUGACUUUGGGAUAACUUCAGGAAACUGGGGCUAAUACCGGAUAGGAGCUCCUGCUGCAUGGUGGGGGUUGGAACUUUUCGGCGGGUGGGGAUGGACUCGCGGCUUAUCAGCUUGUUGGUGGGGUAGUGGCUUACCAAGGCUUUGACGGGUAGGCGGCCUGGGAGGGUGGCCGGGCACAAUGGGACUGAGGUAGGGACCAGAGGGGAACGGGAGGCAGCGGGGGGGAAUAUUGCACAAUGGGCGGGAGCGUGAGGAAGCAGCGUCGCGUGUGGGAAGACGGCCUGCGGGGUGUAAACAGCUUUCGCCUGUGACGAAGCGGGAGUGACGGUAAUGGGUAAAGAAGCACCGGCUAACUACGUG